UGAGGAAUAUUGGUCAAUGGACGAGAGUCUGAACCAGCCAAGUAGCGUGCAGGAUGACGGCCCUAUGGGUUGUAAACUGCUUUUGUUUGGGAAUAAUCGACAUUACGUGUAAUGUUUUGCAUGUACCAUUCGAAUAAGGACCGGCUAAUUCCGUGCCAGCAGCCGCGUUAAUACGGAAGGUCCAGGCGUUAUCCGGAUUUAUUGGGUUUAAAUGGAGUGUAGGCGGUUGGUUAAGCGUGUUGUGAAAUGUAGAUGCUCAACAUCUGACUUGCAGCGUGAACUGGCUGACUUGAGUACACACAACGUAGGCGGAAUUCAUGGUGUAGCGGUGAAAUGCUUAGAUAUCAUGACGAACUCCGAUUGCGCAGGCAGCUUACUGUAGCAUAACUGACGCUGAUGCUCGAAAGUGCGGGUAUCAAACAGG
rnacentral:rRNA from 1 species